CUUCAAAAAAAAAUCAAGGUGAAUGGAAAACCUGAAAAUCCUGGUGGAGGUGUUAUAAUCAUUGAAAGGAGCAAGAACAGGAUUACCAUUACUUCUGAGAUAAGGAAACCGGAACAUGGAGAAGUUGAGAUACCCAUGGACAUGGAGCUUAUAAAGGAAGAACCGGGAUUCUAAAAUCCCAGAAAAUAAGGACUCAGGUCCACAAUCUCCCACUUCUCCCUGUCCCCCCUGGUAAACUAGACAGAGGUGGGGAGGGGGCAUGCUCUGAGUAAGAAACAUGGCCACUAUGAAGAGUCUCCACAUCCAGAGCUCCAUUUUCUCUGGAUUUAAUUACCCAGGAAGAUUGCUUUUCCUCAUAGGGAACAGUUCUGACUCCCUUCUUGGUAUCUGAUGUCUAAUUUUGGACCCCACUUCACCCCCUCAGGUCUCCAUCAUGGUGCAUAGAAAGGCUUUGGAGCCACUCAGUCCUGGACCUCACUCAGCUCCACUAUUAACUUGCGAUGCAAUUUGGUCACAUUAUGUGGUCUAACUCUCUGUGUCUUAGUUUCCCUAUCUGUGUAAUCAAGAUGAUGACCUUCUGCUUUGACUUUGUGAAGAUUAUUGUGUCCAGCACAUAGGGCCUCAAUAAAUGAUCCCUUUCUCUUCACU